GAUGAACGCUGGCGGCGUGCCUAAUACAUGCAAGUCGAGCGAACAGACGAGGAGCUUGCUCCUCUGACGUUAGCGGCGGACGGGUGAGUAACACGUGGAUAACCUACCUAUAAGACUGGGAUAACUUCGGGAAACCGGAGCUAAUACCGGAUAAUAUAUUGAACCGCAUGGUUCAAUAGUGAAAGACGGUUUUGCUGUCACUUAUAGAUGGAUCCGCGCCGCAUUAGCUAGUUGGUAAGGUAACGGCUUACCAAGGCAACGAUGCGUAGCCGACCUGAGAGGGGGAUCGGCCACACUGGACCUGAGACCCGGUCCAGACUCCUACGGGAGGCAGCAGUAGGGAAUCUUCCGCAAUGGGCGAAAGCUUGACGGAGCAACGCCGCGUGAGUGAUGAAGGUCUUCGGAUCGUAAAACUCUGUUAUUAGGGAAGAACAAAUGUGUAAGUAACUAUGCACGUCUUGACGGUACCUAAUCAGAAAGCCACGGCUAACUACGU
rnacentral:rRNA from 1 species